GUGUUUGCUUUAGCAGCACAUAUACUAAAAAUGGAAUAAUAUAUAUGAUUAGCAUUACUCCCAUACAAGGAUGAAAUGUAAAUUCAUGAAGCGUUAAAAAAACAA